AGAGCAACUGUGUGCAUGCGUAAAACUGACAUGUGACGGUCGUUCUGGGGUUUUUUUUUUUAUUUGCGAAAUCACGACUUACAAGUAGACUUGUAGAUGUAUCUCAAGGGUCGUGGUAUUAUCCGGAAACUUUGUGAAGUGGAACACCAUUUUACCCCUGACCUGGACAAAAUGCCUAAACCACUUCUUUCUAAGGAAUUUAAGAACAAAACAAACAUGAAUGAGAACAUUUAAACACUGUAAUUAUCAUAAUUUUUUACGUUAAUUAAACAACGAGAUUAUCCUACCGUAAUUGUUGCCGCUUGUGAAAGAUAUGAACUUCAGAUAUUGUUGCAAACUGUGUAACAUCACUUGUUGAAGUAUUAUAACGUUCAUCGUAAGUCAUAUAUAAGUGACUGUAUACAUAUAAAGCAAUCGUUCAAUUUUAUGCACGUGAACAUUUUCUCUCAUGGCAUAUUUUAUCGUGCACAGUAUAAAGUUCAAACGAUACUGUCAUAUACAAUAGUAUUCCAUAAUGAUGAAAAAUUUUUUCAUAGAGGUGAUCGAUGAUUACUUGUGCAAAUCUUAAAUUAAAUCGCAUCAGUCAAGUGAAUGUUAUUGAAUUUAACGAUAUUAUUGUAUGAUUAUUAUCAUUAGUAUUACCGUUAUUGUUGUUGUUAUUAAAUUAAUUUUUUUUCAUUUAGUACCAUCACACAGAUGCAACGAUAAGGAAGAUUCGCAGUUGCUUUUUUCCUUUCGUUGUCCUCGUAAUUUCUUUUUCUUACGACCAACUACCAAAUAUAAUAAAGAUUUAUAUUAUGUAUUAUAGUUCCUAUGUGCUUAUUGUUACGUUCCAACAAUUCAGUUGUUUAUUGCGGUAAUUUUCUAUUUUGCUUCCUUAAUAUAAUUACAGAUGUCGUUUUAGAUACCUAAAUGCAUAAAAAAUGUUCAUACUUGUACUGUAUACAUAUCAAUUCUGUGAAGUAAAUUGAUCAAAUAUCAAUUGCAACGUACACUAUAUAAUGCAGGUAAUUCAUAAUGAGAGCAAUUGGAAUAUGCUCUCAUUUGUUUACAUAAUUGUAUUACGUAGUAAUUGUUCACAGAAUUUAAUUUAUAUCUAAUUUUACUGUUUCCACAUAGUUGUACGUGUAUUAUAUAAAUAUAGUUAUUUUUUUAGGUGUAAAUUAAUUUCGGUUUUUUUAUAGUUUCAUUUUAUCAAUUUUUGUUUCAUAGUUCAAUCUCAAAUUUUUCUACAGUGAAUUUCAGUUUUAAACGAUGUUAUCGUCUCGAAGAAUAAAAAAAAUUGUCCACUCACUAAAAUCUGAGUCCAACCAGUCUUGGAAAAUUUCCGAGGCUUGAAAAAUUCUGAUACCGGUUCUUGAUAUAUCAUUUGGAAACAAAGUUUCGAUUGAUCAACCAAAUGUUACAUCACAUAAGUGUUAUGAAUUAUAAAAAAAAAAAAAACUUACACUCGUCUUUCAAGAAAGGUCUGUACAUUUAGAAAUCCGAGAAGAUUGUCGUAAAUUGUGGGCCUGUUUCCCAAGCUUACUUUCUCAAUCCCGCGGAAACGUCAUUUCUGAUAAAUCAUGAUUCUAGCAUAUUCUAGCAAAGUACAAGAUCUACGAAAAAUCUCAUGUUACAGUCAUUUAAUGGCGGUAGAUUCAGCUGAAACGUGACGUUAGUUGAUGCGAUAAUAAACAAUCUUGCGAUGUUAGUUAUUGUAAGCAACUUCGACUUCUUGCGGUCACCGACACGCGAGAAUCUUUGAUGAUUUUGCUAUCAAAAGGGAUAAAAUUAAAUAAGCUUCCGGCUCACGAAUUGCACUGACAUGCGGUGCGUGGUAUUGCGAUAUAAAAAAGGUGAAAUGUAUCAGGAUACUCUACGAAGGCUUCAGCAGUAGUCUGGAUUCUUUCCCGAACCGGCACAUGCGAAAUUAACUAACAGACUUAAAAGGAUAAGGCAGUAUCUUUUUAAAACAUAUAUACACAUAUUUGUAAAAUAAAUAGUAAUCCAAACACAUGUGGAUACCCAUAUUUUAAAUUCUUAUUUUUUUAUUUUAUAGAUAACGUUGCACGCGUGAGAUAAUUUCAGACGUUCGAACCAAAGCCGACCGUUUUGAUCUAUAAUUAGAAUAGCCGGGGAAGUCUUUGUGAUUAGUUAUUAACAUUAUCAUAGAAAAGCCGCGGAUACUAGAGGCGCAUAAAGUGAAGCUAGUGUGCCAGUUCUUCCAUAAUCUAGCUUCUGGUCCACCUUUUCUCCCGCCUAGUUAAGUUGUCUGUAUAGCACAUCUUUCUCUCUCACCUCCAUCCCUUCCAACAUUCGUUCCCUGUCUGUUUAUAGUCGCAUAGCGCAAUUACGUCACGCAUCAUUCCGCGAUUCAACGGCACUAAGCCAGGUAAAGUGAGGAAACACUCGCCACUCGAGAUACGGCAAAAAUAGCAAUAAUUCGGGGUCAGGUGGAGGGGGAAACUCAUCUUUGAUAUCAUAAUAUUUAUAUCUGCUUUAAUUUAACAGAAUUAUGAUUCAAUCAAAAAAAUAUAAUAGCACGUAAAAAAUAUACACAAAAUAUUAAAUAUAAAAGUACGUCAAGGAUAUGAAAAAAAUUCUGAUAUAACACACAUAUUUCAAAGGCCAAAAUGAUGAUUUAUUCAAAAUUGAGUUCAUUUUCAAUGUCUUUACAAUAAAUAGUGUUACUAAAUAUAAUUCAUUUAUUAUUCCAUAUGUAUUUUUCAAACUUUCCUAUGAAUGAAUAUUUUAAUAUGGAAUUAAUCAUGUGGAUGGGUAAAACCAAAGGGGUGUAUGGAAUGUGUAUAAGCAUAGUUUGUUCGCCUUUAUGGCAUGAGGCCAUUGGUGUAUAUCUAAAGGUCGUGAGCAAUUCUGAAUACAUACCGACUUCCGAACCUCAUAUUUUUCUUUUAUAAUUUAUUUCGAAGUUUAUAAUUGGAAAACAAUUCCUGCCUUUCUGAAUGCUUAGUACUAAACUGUACACGUAAUAACACAUCUUCACAAGUAUGGAAAAUUGUUCAGAAAAUUCUGAUAAGUCUAACAAAUAUCUUGUAUAAGAUAAAUCGGUGUCAAAAAAUUCAAAUAAUUACAACUGAAACAAGUUAUACAUAUACUAUGUUAUCAUACUUCCAUUGUCUUCGAAUGAAAACAAAGUUGGCAUCGCAUUUGCUUUACGAACUAAACCUCGACCUGACGAUCGGAAACAUUUUUCAUCGAAAUGAUCACUACUACCGAAAUGAGAAAUUGUUUGACAAGAAAUGCCGUUCCGAUCUGCUUCAAACUGUAACUGAAAAUAGAGCAAUUAGCGGAAGAAAAUCUAAAUUAUGUGGAGAGUAUUGGUUCUAAAAAUAAGGAAACUAUGUCACCCUUCGCCAUUUUAAACAGAGUUGACGCUGCGAGUCAAGUUUCCUCAAAACGCUUGAAACCAUCUCCAAGAGAAGAGACCCUGAUAUCAAAAUUCGAUACACUGCAGAAGUGUAUGAAGCGUAGAGAUACAAAACUACAAUCAUUGGGAGGAGCUAUCGAUGUCUUGAAAAGAACCUUAACCUAUUCCAAAGGCGUAGAAACUAUUUUUGAAAGGCAUUUUUAAGAUGUCAAAUUGCAGAUGCUGUUGAAUGAAUUUAACAAUAAUAAUAUUACACCAAAUCAUAGACAGUACCCCGAAAACAUUAGGCAGUUGGCGUUGAUGGUUUAUUUCUAUUAUCCUAAAGCCUAUUAGGUCAGCGUCAAUAUUUAUAUUUGCCUCAUUCUGCUACCAUCAGGAAAUGGAUGUCGUCAUACGAUUGUGAGCCAGAUUUAUUAACUGAAGUUUCUCAUUACUUGCAGGCAGAAACUAACAAAUCACCUUUUAAGGAAUGUAACUUUAGUAUUAGACGCAAUUUCAAUACGCGCAGAAGCGGCUUAUGAUGUAGCUAAAGACGAGUAUUUUGGCUUUAUCAAUUAUGGUGAUUUUUGAUUUCCUCAUUUCUGUUACACUCGUUCUGUAACUUUCAAACUUUGAUGUAUUACUUUAUUUAUUAUUUCUUCAUUUCUUAUUUUUUCCUUGUUCUGUGAUACACCGGGCAUGCCUAUCAAUUCAAAUUUUAACCAACUGGUUUACUUGCCUCUGUUAUGCUCAGCAUAAUGUGAUAGUUAUUAUGUGAUAUUUUAUUCUAAUAACCCUAUUUUGGUUUUUUUCCUUUUCCAUGAUGUACCUGCAAUGGCAAUCAUUACAUACUUUGACCAAAUUACCUAUUCAUUAAUAUAAUUCCUUAUCUUGUCAUUCAUUCCCUUUUCACACAGCGCAGAAGUAAAUUAUAUCCUAGAGACGUCGAACCAAUUCUGGAACAUUCGUAAGCCUUUCGACGUUUUUAAGAAUUCAUUGAGUUCUGUACUAUCUAGAUACAGCAGGGGUAUGGAGAGAUAAAACUGUAAUAUAUACAUCAAUUGGUAAUAGCAUAUGAUAAUUAUUCUUCUGGGCCUGGCUCAAUCUCAGGAUAGCAUCAUUUUGUGGUGAUUUUCUCCAACUGAUACAUCGAUGGCUGAAAACACCAAAAUCAGCGGCAAAAUGAAGCGGAAACAAUCUAUUUAUACAAAAAUGUAAUCUACUUCUCAGUUCUGAACAGGGAGUAUCAAUCUAUAUCCAUACGAAAAUGUAAUAAACUUCUAAAUCAAUUUGUAUAUACGUAAUUUAUUCUACAUAUUAUAAUACAUUCAUGAUUAACAGGAUUCAUUUUAUGAUUUACACGUUCAUACUUGCAUAUUUUAUACACUAAUUUAACCACUUUUGCCAUGAUUA